rnacentral:tRNA from 1 species
UGUAGCUCAGUUGGUAGAGCAGCUGAUUCGUAAUCAGCAGGUCGCCGGUUAUCCAUAAGGACGAAAUAAUUACUUCGAAUAUUUUCAAACGC